rnacentral:rRNA from 1 species
UACGGGGGGAGCAAGCGUUGUUCGGAUUUACUGGGCGUAAAGGGCGCGUAGGCGGCCAGCACAAGUCAGUUGUGAAAUCUCCGAGCUUAACUCGGAAAGGUCAACUGAUACUGUGCGGCUAGAGUGCGGAAGGGGCAACUGGAAUUCUUGGUGUAGCGGUGAAAUGCGUAGAUAUCUAGAGGAACACCGGUGGCGAAGGCGGCAUCCUGGACCAACACUGACGCUGAGGAGCGAAAGCCAGGGGAGCAAACGGG